UUACAGACAUGAGCCACCACGCCCGGCCUGGAGCCCAUAUUAUUAAAGAUAACUCACACAGAAGCCAAAUAAACACACAGGUUAGAAAUAAGUGAGGCCUGAUGAAGAGAUUCAAAGGAAGACAAGAGUCCAGCGAAUUCAUGUGUCCUGCCAGAAUGAAGAGAGGAUGACUCCCAUUCUAAUGGGCUCCAGAGAAGAGGGUGAAGGUACAGAGCAACUCUUUAAUUUCAUCAAAUAAAUGGCUUUGCAAAUAUCAACGUGUCUUACUUUACAACAGGGCUUGAGUUUUCUAUUGCUAAAUCUCCCCUGGCAGUG
rnacentral:lncRNA from 1 species